rnacentral:rRNA from 1 species
UUCCUACGGGUGGCAGCAGUGGGGAAUUUUACACAAUGGGCGAAAGCCUGAUGUAGCAACGCCGCGUGGAGGAUGACGGAUUUAGGUCUGUAAACUCCUUUUAUAGGGGAAGAAAUUUGACGGUACCCUAUGAAUAAGCGCCGGCUAACUCCGUGCCAGCAGCCGCGGUAAUACGGGGGGCGCAAGCGUUACUCGGAAUCACUGGGCGUAAAGGGAGCGUAGGCGUUCUAUUAAGUCUCGAGUGAAAGCCUGCAGCCUAACUGCAGAACUGCUCGGGAAACUGAUAGAAUAGAGUAUGGAAGAGGUAGGUGGAAUUUCCAGUGUAGGGGUAAAAUCCGUAGAUAUUGGAAGGAAUACCAGAAGCGAAGGCGACCUACUGGGACAUUACUGACGCUGAGGCUCGAAAGCGUGGGGAGCAAACAGGAUUAGAUACCCUAGUAGUCG